rnacentral:rRNA from 1 species
CGGGACACGUGGUAUCCUGUCUGAAUAUGGGGGGACCAUCCUCCAAGGCUAAAUACUCCUGACUGACCGAUAGUGAACCAGUACCGUGAGGGAAAGGCGAAAAGAACCCCGGCGAGGGGAGUGAAAAAGAACCUGAAACCGUGUACGUACAAGCAGUGGGAGCACGCUUAGGCGUGUGACUGCGUACCUUUUGUAUAAUGGGUCAGCGACUUAUAUUCUGUAGCAAGGUUAACCGAAUAGGGGAGCCGAAGGGAAACCGAGUCUUAACUGGGCGUUAAGUUGCAGGGUAUAGACCCGAAACCCGGUGAUCUAGCCAUGGGCAGGUUGAAGGUUGGGUAACACUAACUGGAGGACCGAACCGACUAAUGUUGAAAAAUUAGCGGAUGACUUGUGGCUGGGGGUGAAAGGCCAAUCAAACCGGGAGAUAGCUGGUUCUCCCCGAAAGCUAUUUAGGUAGCGCCUCGUGAAUUCAUCUCCGGGGGUAGAGCACUGUUUCGGCAAGGGGGUCAUCCCGACUUACCAACCCGAUGCAAACUGCGAAUACCGGAGAAUGUUAUCACGGGAGACACACGGCGGGUGCUAACGUCCGUCGUGAAGAGGGAAACAACCCAGACCGCCAGCUAAGGUCCCAAAGUCAUGGUUAAGUGGGAAACGAUGUGGGAAGGCCCAGACAGCCAGGAUGUUGGCUUAGAAGCAGCCAUCAUUUAAAGAAAGCGUAAUAGCUCACUGGUCGAGUCGGCCUGCGCGGAAGAUGUAACGGGGCUAAACCAUGCACCGAAGCUGCGGCAGCGACGCUUAUGCGUUGUUGGGUAGGGGAGCGUUCUGUAAGCCUGUGAAGGUGUGCUGUGAGGCAUGCUGGAGGUAUCAGAAGUGCGAAUGCUGACAUAAGUAACGAUAAAGCGGGUGAAAAGCCCGCUCGCCGGAAGACCAAGGGUUCCUGUCCAACGUUAAUCGGGGCAGGGUGAGUCGACCCCUAAGGCGAGGCCGAAAGGCGUAGUCGAUGGGAAACAGGUUAAUAUUCCUGUACUUGGUGUUACUGCGAAGGGGGGACGGAGAAGGCUAUGUUGGCCGGGCGACGGUUGUCCCGGUUUAAGCGUGUAGGCUGGUUUUCCAGGCAAAUCCGGAAAAUCAAGGCUGAGGCGUGAUGACGAGGCACUACGGUGCUGAAGCAACAAAUGCCCUGCUUCCAGGAAAAGCCUCUAAGCAUCAGGUAACAUCAAAUCGUACCCCAAACCGACACAGGUGGUCAGGUAGAGAAUACCAAGGCGCUUGAGAGAACUCGGGUGAAGGAACUAGGCAAAAUGGUGCCGUAACUUCGGGAGAAGGCACGCUGAUAUGUAGGUGAAGUCCCUCGCGGAUGGAGCUGAAAUCAGUCGAAGAUACCAGCUGGCUGCAACUGUUUAUUAAAAACACAGCACUGUGCAAACACGAAAGUGGACGUAUACGGUGUGACGCCUGCCCGGUGCCGGAAGGUUAAUUGAUGGGGUCAGCGCAAGCGAAGCUCUUGAUCGAAGCCCCGGUAAACGGCGGCCGUAACUAUAACGGUCCUAAGGUAGCGAAAUUCCUUGUCGGGUAAGUUCCGACCUGCACGAAUGGCGUAAUGAUGGCCAGGCUGUCUCCACCCGAGACUCAGUGAAAUUGAACUCGCUGUGAAGAUGCAGUGUACCCGCGGCAAGACGGAAAGACCCCGUGAACCUUUACUAUAGCUUGACACUGAACAUUGAGCCUUGAUGUGUAGGAUAGGUGGGAGGCUUUGAAGUGUGGACGCCAGUCUGCAUGGAGCCGACCUUGAAAUACCACCCUUUAAUGUUUGAUGUUCUAACGUUGACCCGUAAUCCGGGUUGCGGACAGUGUCUGGUGGGUAGUUUGACUGGGGCGGUCUCCUCCUAAAGAGUAACGGAGGAGCACGAAGGUUGGCUAAUCCUGGUCGGACAUCAGGAGGUUAGUGCAAUGGCAUAAGCCAGCUUGACUGCGAGCGUGACGGCGCGAGCAGGUGCGAAAGCAGGUCAUAGUGAUCCGGUGGUUCUGAAUGGAAGGGCCAUCGCUCAACGGAUAAAAGGUACUCCGGGGAUAACAGGCUGAUACCGCCCAAGAGUUCAUAUCGACGGCGGUGUUUGGCACCUCGAUGUCGGCUCAUCACAUCCUGGGGCUGAAGUAGGUCCCAAGGGUAUGGCUGUUCGCCAUUUAAAGUGGUACGCGAGCUGGGUUUAGAACGUCGUGAGACAGUUCGGUCCCUAUCUGCCGUGGGCGCUGGAGAACUGAGGGGGGCUGCUCCUAGUACGAGAGGACCGGAGUGGACGCAUCACUGGUGUUCGGGUUGUCAUGCCAAUGGCACUGCCCGGUAGCUAAAUGCGGAAGAGAUAAGUGCUGAAAGCAUCUAAGCACGAAACUUGCCCCGAGAUGAGUUCUCCCUGACC